CCUGCUCUAUCUUCCUAAUCUGCUUUGCUCCACGGUUCAAUUUCUUGUUGGAUUUGGGACUGAUUGUUCCAACUAGAUCGACUAUGCUCCUGGGAUCCAGUUAUUAGCUACUGUAUGUAUGUCUCUACUAAUGCACACUAAAUGAACUGAAUGCUUUACAGCGUGCACAUUGCCACUAGUAACCUGCCACCACACGCACAAGCUCUCAUUAUUUUGUUUCCUAUUUAAUCUGGGACUAUUCCAGACUUUGCAACCAUGUACACUACUCACAUGAGAGGUAUAACAUACACAGGUGUUGUCUUAAGUUAAUUCUUUGGUUGAUGUCCAGGAUUAACAAGUAAACCAAAUAACAGCAUGUUUUCCUUUGCACCUGUACAUGUCCAUCAGCAUGUUUAUAUUAGUUACUUUGAUGCAAUUGUGACAUCUUUGGUUAUCUUUGUUGUUGCAAGCAUUGGGUUCACUUGUCCAUGUCCAUGUUCAUUUCCAGCAAAUGUAUAUGUGAAGUGCAUUGUAUGUAUGAGAUAAAUUCUGCUCCUUCCGUCCAUAAAAGGCUGUCGGAGAUUUAUCUAAAUUCGGAUGUGUCUAGAUGCAUCCAAAUUUAGAUAAACUCGCGACAUCCUUUUAUGGACAGAGGUAGUAGCAAAGAGUGGUUAGAACUAUCAUUUAUCUUGCUUCUGUAGUCUGUAGUCUGUCUCUCCCUCGUGUGACUCCGAAUAUGUAUAGUUGAUCAUGAACUUGAUUUCCAAUAAUAGCUGUUUUAGCCAUCGAGUCAAUGCCCUGUAUAGGGCCAUUGAGCCGUUGGACUUUAAGAAAUUUUUGGUGUUUUACUGGUACUGGGAUGUGUGGUUGCAGGUGUAGUUGAUCUUGUCAACGUUAAACAUGCUAGUCGAAUUGGAUUGUACUAUGUUUGAAUGUCUAGAGGCAUGCUGUAUGUACUCUACUGUCAUUUGUAUUAUGGUCUGGAUGUCCAGAGAAGGGCAAAGAUCAUGGCUGAAUUUUGAACACUUGCUAAUUAAACUUGCAGUGUUUUAGUAAGUUUAACUCUUAGUGGCUUUGAAUCGAUAGUAUUUGGCUGUUGCUGGUGAUGAAGUAGGUGCCACUGCAAUUUAUUUGGCCAAGUUGACAGUUGUCAUUAACUGCAAUUUAUUCGUGAAUAUUUAUCAUCACAUUUUCGCCACUAGCUGCUGCUCUGACUAUUUCUUGAUAUUUCAUUGGCAUGCCUGUGAACAUGUGUUUUCUGACACUAAUGAAAAGCGUGCAAAUUCUAUUUGCAGGAUAGUGGCCUUCUUCCUCUAUAUGCGUCUAGGUAUGUUUAGGUGAGUAUCCCUGCUGUGAUAUACAGUGGCAUCUAGAGCCACGGCUAAAGUGUGAUCCGGCCAUCGAGGAGAUGGCGAUGCUGGUUUAGGUUCAGUUUUGGUAGUUGUGUAACCAGGACGUGGUCCUGGCACUAAGUGCUGUUCUAACCGAUUCUUUGGUUGACGCUUUCAUUACGAAUCUUGCCUAUUUCAGUUGUAUGUGUAUUUUUGGGCUUCGACCAAGUUGCUGUGAUGUGCAAUGUUGCAACAUAGCAAUACUAUUGAGGUCCUGAAUAGCAUAAGUUUCAGGAGCAUUUGGGGUCUCCAUUAUAUUUUGUCUUGACCUGGGCAUAUAUAUAUAUCAUCUGUAGCUAGCUACCUGCACAGAAUGAAGUAGCUACCUGUGGCUGUACCUACUCUGUUGGUGUUCCUGUAAUAGAUGAGAUUGAGGCGUCUCAUUUUCUGUAAAGAAGUGAAGCUGCAUCUGUGAGUUUAGAAUCAGAGACAUUAGACUGAAAUGUCCUUAUAUGCUUUCUUGCCACUGAUUGUCCUUGAUUUGGUUUGGCGUAUACAAGAUCAAAGAUUUGUGCCUUGCAUGGUAUUGUGUGGUAGUUGAGUAUUUUCAUGGCUCCACGAGCUUAUCUUACACGAUAUCCUUGACUGUGAACAGGUUGACGUGCCGUUUUCUGAAUGCUGGAGAUGAGCACUUGCACCUUCAGCUGGUGGAACCAGAAGCGGAGGCUGAUUGUCUCCACCUGGUGGAACCAGAAGUUGUAUGCGGAAGGUAGGCAGCGAAGUUUAGGACUGAGAAGCGGAGCUGGUAGCGGUGGUUUAGGUGGGUAUCCCCCUGCUGUGAUAUAGAGUUGGCAUCUAUAGGCACGGCUGAAGUGCCAUCGAGGAGAUGAGGACGAUGCUGGUUUAGGUAUAGUUUUGGUAGCUGUGUAACAUGGUCCUGGUACUAAGCGAUGAUGUAUCCAUUUCUGUGGUUUAAUUAUGGAUUUGUGCCUAUUUCAGUUCUUUUUUGGGAUUUGACUUGUGCAAUGUUACAGCAUAGCAAUAUUUGUGGAGGUCGAGCAUUUGGUCUCCUUUA